AAAAAAAAAGGUGGUUCAAAAAAGAAAAAAAAUUCAAAGAAGACAACAUAUACAACAUAUGCAUAUACGACAACAAAUGCAAAUGCGACAACAAAUGCAAAUACAACAACAAAUCUUCCAUUAACUACCAGUAGCCAUUCAGAUACUAAUGAUUAUCCAGUCCCUUACGACAACUUCUUCUACGAAUACACGUUCGAUGAAUAUGAAGCUUUAAUUACGAGUGAUCUUUAUGCGACAAUUUCUGAGGAGAAUCAUCGAAGUGGUCCGACUGCAACAGCCACACCGACUGAAACGUCUGCAGCUGCAGACCAAAAUCAAACUACUAGUCGACACGAUCAUCAAUUCAAGGUACCGGAAGUCCCUCCGUUGCGUCUCAAGUCGAACGCCGACCACAGUAAUCGUUCGACGGCUGGUGCAUGCGCAUCUGGAAGUGCAGGAGUCAACGAAAUCGAAGCUGCAAUAAACUCUUUAAGGAGUAAUGACCAUGUGGUCGUCGAUGACUUUCGCAGAGGUGAAUACGUUUUCGCGGACGCACAUCUUUGGGAGAAAUGUGACUUUACCGCAUUUACUAGUUAAGUGUGUCUUAUUCGUAUAAUGGUUUAUAACGGUAAAUGUAAGUUGGGUCCCGAUAAAGAGAUACCGGGCACCGGCAACAACAUACGCAUAAGUUGCGGCCAAUGAUUUUGGCAUGUAUUAUGUACAUAAAUUGCUUCCGACGAAAAAUCCGUAAAAAUAAUAGACGAUAAUAUAUAUUUUCUCCUUAAAAAUCUCUUGAAUAAUUAAUUUCUGAAAUUUUACGUCACUAGAUGUAGGUAUUUAAAAAAAAAUUCAAAGAACCAAAAACUAAAUAAUAACUGAAACUGAAUUUGGUUGUAUUGAGUUAUAUUCGUUUGCCCUAUUUAAGGACGAAAACCUUUUGGUUACUCUGUGUAUAUACAAAAUGUAUGAACUUUUGGUAAUUAAUAUAUUGUAUUAUUUUAACAUUA